GGUGAACGCUAGCGGCAGGCUUAAUACAUGCAAGUCGAGGGGCAGCGGGGACUUCGGUCCGCCGGCGACCGGCAAACGGGUGCGGAACACGUACACAACCUUCCUUUUAGUGGGGGAUAGCCCAGGGAAACUUGGAUUAAUACCCCGUAACAUGUUGAUGAGGCAUCUUAUUAACAUUAUAGUGGCAACACGCUAGAAGACGGGUGUGCGUAUGAUUAGGUAGUUGGCGGGGUAACGUCCCACCAAGCCUUCGCUCAUUAACUGGUGUGAGGGCAAGGGCAGGAAAACGGGCACUGAGACACGGGACCGACUCCUACGGGAGGCAGCAGUAAGGAAGAUUGGUCAAUGGAGGAAACUCUGAACCAGCCAUGCCGCGUGGAGGAUGAAGGUCCUCUGGAUUGUAAACUUCUUUUAUAUGGGACGAAAAAGGGACUUUUUAGUUCAACUGACGGUACCAUAUGAAUAAGCACCGGCUAACUCCGUGCCAGCCGCCGCCGUAAAAC
rnacentral:rRNA from 1 species